rnacentral:tRNA from 1 species
AUCUAAAUAGUUUAUAUUUAAAAUUUUGAUUUGUGGUAUCAAGGAAAUAGGUUUAUUUUAGAUU